GUCGAGCUUAGUAACAUGGGCAGCUUGUGAUCCGAGUGGAGAUAUUAAGUUGGUGGGACUUUGGACCAAUUUGUGUGGACCUCGUAGUUGCGAGGUUAUAUGCUAGGCUUGCCCAAUUCUAAAUUGGCUUUGCCAGUGUCUUCUUCGCUACGAGAGGACCGAGGUUUCAAUUUGGACUAUCAUCUUU
rnacentral:SRP_RNA from 1 species